rnacentral:rRNA from 1 species
ACGAACGCUGGCGGCGUGCCUAAUACAUGCCAGUCGAGCGAAGUUUUUCUGGUGCUUGCACUAGAAAAACUUAGCGGCGAACGGGUGAGUAACACGUAAAGAACCUGCCUCAUAGACUGGGACAACUAUUGGAAACGAUAGCUAAUACCGGAUAACAGCAUUAACUGCAUGGUUGAUGUUUAAAAGUUGGUUUUGCUAACACUAUGAGAUGGCUUUGCGGUGCAUUAGCUAGUUGGUGGGGUAAAGGCCUACCAAGGCGACGAUGCAUAGCCGACCUGAGAGGGUGAUCGGCCACACUGGGACUGAGACACGGCCCAGACUCCUACGGGAGGCAGCAGUAGGGAAUCUUCCGCAAUGGGCGAAAGCCUGACGGAGCAACGCCGCGUGAGUGAAGAAGGAUUUCGGUUCGUAAAGCUCUGUUGUUAGGGAAGAAUGAUUGUGUAGUAACUAUACACAGUAGAGACGGUACCUAACCAGAAAGCCACGGCUAACUACGUG